rnacentral:rRNA from 1 species
GACGAACGCUGGCGGCGUGCUUAACACAUGCAAGUCGAACGGAAAGGCGCGGCUCUUGUGGGGUGCACGUGAGGCGAACGGGUGAGUAACACGCGAGUAAAACGCCCUUGUCUUUGGGAUAAAUUCAGGGAAAUGGGGCUAAUACAGGGUAGGAGCUACUGCUGCAUGGGGGGGGAUGGAAAGAUUCGGCGGUUGGGGCUGGAAUCGCGGCUUAUGAGCUGGUUGGUGGGGUAGUUGCUGACAACGGCUUUGACGGGUAGGCGGCGUGGGAGCGUGGCCGGCCACAUUGCGCCUGCGGUACGGCCCAGACUCCUACGGGCCGCAGCAGUCGGGAAUAUUGCACAAUGGGCGGAAGCCUGAUGCAACAGCCCCCCGUGCGUGAUGACCGCCUUCGGGUUGUAAACCGCUGUCUCCUGUAACAAGGCGGGAGUGACGGUAAUGGGUCAAGAAGCACCGGCUAACUACGUG